rnacentral:rRNA from 1 species
CCUACGGGGGCAGCAGUGGGGAAUCUUGCGCAAUGGGCGAAAGCCUGACGCAGCAACGCCGCGUGCGGGAUGAAGGCCUUCGGGUUGUAAACCGCUUUUAACAGGAACGAAAAUGACUGUACCUGUAGAAUAAGGUGCGGCCAACUACGUGCCAGCAGCCGCGGUGACACGUAGGCACCAAGCGUUGUCCGGAUUUAUUGGGCGUAAAGAGCUCGUAGGCGGUUCGAUAAGUCGGGUGUGAAAAACUCUGGGCUUAACCCAGAGACGCCACUCGAUACUAUUGUGACUAGAGUUCGGUAGGGGAGCGGGGAAUUCCUAGUGUAGCGGUGAAAUGCGCAGAUAUUAGGAGGAACACCGGUGGCGAAAGGCGCCGCUCUGGGCCGAAACUGACGCUGAGGAGCGAAAGCGUGGGUAGCAAACAGGAUUAGAUACCCUGGUAGUCCACGCCGUAAACGGUGGGGCACUAGGUGUGGGCUCCAACCAACGGAGUCCGCGCCGUCGCUAACGCAUUAAGUGCCCCGCCUGGGGAGGUACGGCCGCGAGUAAACGUACGAAAGAAGUAGACGGCGNGAGACGNGCCGAACGGACGACGACGAGGGAGUUAGG